rnacentral:rRNA from 1 species
CCUACGGGUGGCAGCAGUGGGGAAUAUUGGACAAUGGGCGAAAGCCUGAUCCAGCCAUGCCGCGUGUGUGAAGAGGGCCUUCGGGUUGUAAAGCACUUUCAGUGGGGAAGAAAGCCUUGGGGCUAAUACCCUCGAGGAAGGACAUCACCCACAGAAGAAGCACCGGCUAACUCCGUGCCAGCAGCCGCGGUAAUACGGAGGGUGCGAGCGUUAAUCGGAAUUACUGGGCGUAAAGCGCGCGUAGGCGGUCUGAUAAGCCGGUUGUGAAAGCCCCGGGCUCAACCUGGGAACGGCAUCCGGAACUGUCAGGCUAGAGUGCAGGAGAGGAAGGUAGAAUUCCCGGUGUAGCGGUGAAAUGCGUAGAGAUCGGGAGGAAUACCAGUGGCGAAGGCGGCCUUCUGGACUGACACUGACGCUGAGGUGCGAAAGCGUGGGUAGCAAACAGGAUUAGAUACCCCGGUAGUC